rnacentral:rRNA from 1 species
GACGAACGCUGGCGGCGUGCCUAAUACAUGCAAGUAGAACGCACAGUUUAUACCGUAGCUUGCUCCACCAUAGACUGUGAGUUGCGAACGGGUGAGUAACGCGUAGGUAACCUGCCUGGUAGCGGGGGAUAACUAUUGGAAACGAUAGCUAAUACCGCAUAAUAUUGAUUAUUGCAUGAUAAUUGAUUGAAAGAUGCUAUUGCAUCACUACCAGAUGGACCUGCGUUGUAUUAGCUAGUAGGUGAGGUAACGGCUCACCUAGGCGACGAUACAUAGCCGACCUGAGAGGGUAAUCGGCCACACUGGGACUGAGACACGGCCCAGACUCCUACGGGAGGCAGCAGUAGGGAAUCUUCGGCAAUGGACGAAAGUCUGACCGAGCAACGCCGCGUGAGUGAAGAAGGUUUUCGGAUCGUAAAGCUCUGUUGUAAGAGAAGAACGGGUGUGAGAGUGGAAAGUUCACACUGUGACGGUAUCUUACCAGAAAGGGACGGCUAACUACGUG